AGCCAUGUAGCCUAGUGGUUUGAACGUUGGACUAUGACUCUGGAGACCAGGGUGCAAUUCCCUGCUUGGCCA
rnacentral:tRNA from 1 species